rnacentral:rRNA from 1 species
CCCCUAGUAACUGCGAGUGAAGCGGGAAAAGCUCAAAUUUAAAAUCUGGCGGUCUUUGGCCGUCCGAGUUGUAGUCUGGAGAAGUGCUUUCCGCGCUGGACCGUGUAUAAGUCUCUUGGAACAGAGCGUCAUAGAGGGUGAGAAUCCCGUCUUUGACACGGACUACCAGUGCUUUGUGAUGCGCUCUCAAAGAGUCGAGUUGUUUGGGAAUGCAGCUCAAAAUGGGUGGUGAAUUCCAUCUAAAGCUAAAUAUUGGCGAGAGACCGAUAGCGAACAAGUACCGUGAGGGAAAGAUGAAAAGCACUUUGGAAAGAGAGUUAAACAGUACGUGAAAUUGCUGAAAGGGAAACGCUUGAAGUCAGUCGCGUUGUCUGGGACUCAGCCUUGCUUUUGCUUGGUGCACUUUCCGGAUGACGGGCCAGCAUCGAUUUUGACCGUCGGAAAAGGGCUAGGGUAAUGUGGCACCUCCGGGUGUGUUAUAGACUUUAGUCGCAUACGGCGGUCGGGAUCGAGGAACGCAGCGCGCCGUAAGGCAGGGGUUCGCCCACUUUCGCGCUUAGGAUGCUGGCGUAAUGGCUUUAAACGACCCGUCUUGAAACACGGACCAAGGAGUCUAACAUGCCUGCGAGUGUUUGGGUGGAAAACCCGAGCGCGUAAUGAAAGUGAAAGUUGAGACCUCUGUCGUGGAGGGCAUCGACGCCCGGACCUGACGUUCUCUGACGGAUCCGCGGUAGAGCAUGUAUGUUGGGACCCGAAAGAUGGUGAACUAUGCCUGAAUAGGGUGAAGCCAGAGGAAACUCUGGUGGAGGCUCGUAGCGAUUCUGACGUGCAAAUCGAUCGUCAAAUUUGGGUAUAGGGGCGAAAGACUAAUCGAACCAUCUAGUAGCU